UUCCUGGUGGCCCAGUGGUUAAGACUCUGCACUUCCAAUGCAGGGGGCACAGGUUUGAUCCCUGGUCAGGGAA
rnacentral:tRNA from 1 species